AAAUCUUCAAAUUCUUUGCUUAUUCACCAAACUCAAAAUAAUAAACAAAAUAAAGUAAAGUCAAUAUAUUGCUAAUAGUAGGGUUAAUUGAAGAUUAAAUAUUAUUCAUAAUCUACAAUUAAGUAAUCCCAAAUGUGAAAUUACAGCCAUGAGGCUCUUGACUGCCGAAGAAUAAGAACAGUGACCAAGCUCUCGGCAGCGCUAUGACAAGGCUUAACAAUGAAAAAGCCCUUCGGAAUCAUCGGUUGGCCGAAACAUCUAGGUAAAACUAGAGGUGGUAAAAUAAGAUGCAGAAAAGAUACUUAGAAUUUGCAGACGCACACCCUCGUCACGGUAGUCGUCUCGCUUAAAAUAAAAUUAAAUCAUCUGAGUUGAACCAGAGCUAGCCACAUCCACAUCCUACCCAUACUUCUUCUCUUUCCGACUGGCCUUUAAAUUUAAUCUCCAUUUGUUUAGUUUUAAUCCAGUUGUUGAAAUCAAUUAGAUCGUACCAAAUUGAAAAACAAAAGUGCGUAAUAAAAACAAAUCACAUAGAUUAGAGGGACAGCAGACACCACUCUUUCGAACCCAUUCCCAUGACGCCCAAACCCAAAAUCGAAAACCGCACACCUUCCAUCAUCUUAAUUUCUAUAACGCUAUUGUUGUUGUAAUACCCAAAUCUUU
rnacentral:lncRNA from 1 species